UGUUUAAACCGACAAAGUUUAGGCUAGGGCUGGAAGUGGGUUCGGGCUAGCUUCAGACCGAGCUUUGAGCUUAGCCCGAAACCAUUCAGGCUGGGCUUGGACCAAAAAAAUGAGGCCUGUUUUACUUUCGAACCAGGCUCGGACUGAACUUUGGCCCGGCCUGGGCCCGAUCAUGAGCCUGAUUUCUGGCCCGAGCCCAAUUCUCCACUUAAAUGUUUCCAUCCGGCA
rnacentral:lncRNA from 1 species